UACAUUUUGGUAAGAUACGUAUUAGUAUAUAUAUAAUACAUAUGCACACAUCAGAUGUUAGCCCACUGAGCUUGACAAUGAGGGGGUAGUUGGCUGCAACUGAUGGGUGAGGAAAAGGGUUCAGAGAGGUUACAUGACCUUGGGUAAGUUUCUCAAUCAUUCACCUUUUUGUUUAUUCAUGCAUUCUUUCCCUCACCAACCUUUUUUUUUUUUUUUUUUUUUUUAAGGGCCACACUGUGGCGUAUGGAAGUUCCUGGGCUAGAGGUUGAAUUGGAGCUGCAGGUGCCAGCCUACACCAUAGCCACAGCAAUUCUGGAUCCAAGUCUCAUCUCCACCUACACUUCAGCUUGUGGCGAUGCCUGAUCUUUAACCCACUGAGUGAAGCCAGGGAUCAAACUUCCAUCCUUGGGGACACUAUGUCAGGUUCUUAACCUGCUGAGCCACAGUGGGAACUCUUCCCUCAACAACUUUAAUUGUAUAAUACGAUAAUGAAGAAAUGGAGGAGAGGAAUUCCCCAUGUGCCUCAUGGCUUAAGGAUCUGGGUUAUUCAAGCUGUGGCAUACUGCAUUACUGCAGCUCAUAUUCGAUCUCUGGUCUGGAACUUCCAUAUGCUGCAGGUGUGCCCCACUCCUGCAAAAGAAAGUGGAGGAGAAAGAACAAGAGGAAGUGAUCCUAAUGCAUGUAAAACACUAUUUCUUUAAGUGGUCACGUCACAUUGACCCCUAAACCACUUAUAAAACCCUGACUUUCAAUCUUGGCUUACUUUUUACUAGCUGUGUGAUUUUUGGUACAAAUAGUUAAUCUGCUUGGAGUCCCAAUUUCCUUAUCUGUAGAACAGGGUUAACAAUGACUCCCCAACCAUCCCACAAUACUCACUUUCACAUACCCUAAGUCGUCAACAAUCAUCUUUAUAUUCUUCAGGCCUUGCACAAAGACAGCAGGUAGGGCUUGGGAGCUAAGUAUAAUGACACAUGAAUAAAUAUAUAUUGCUAAAUAUAUAACUGCUACAUGGUAUGGUGAGCUUCAUGACAGUCUAAGCCUAACUCUGUGGCAGCAGAAAGAAGACAAUUCUUUUUGCCUGGGAGAAUUGUGAUAUCAGACUCAAACCAAACUCAAACCCAGGUUUUCAAAGAGGUGAGUAUUAGAAGAUGUAGUGUUUUUCUACUACAACUAGUAGCUUGUCUAUAUAUACUGUUAUAUUUAGUUCUGUCUAUCUGUCUUCCUAUCUAUCUGGCCAACUAUCUUCUCUCUGUAGAUAUAUGUUCUAUAUAUUAUGCUACUUAUCUAGCUCCUGAUCAUAAUAUUCUCAAAUUGUGGAAAUUUAAAUUUUACAAGUGAUCACUGAUUUUAGUGCUAGCAUUUUAAAACAUUUUCAACUUAUCUUUAAAGAAUUCAUCACACUGUAGAUAAAACACUGGCAUUUAUGAAUGCUUGAACAUGUAACUUUCUGGUAACAUCAUUUUCUACCAAAUCCUGCUUUGUGAGUGGAAGCUAUGUACAUGAAGAAGCAAUUAUAAAAAGCAACAUGCAGGAUGAGAACAUAUACCCAGUGACAACUGAGAAGCUUUGUUUUUUGUGAAUAAGUGAGGAUGCAUGAAAAAAAAAAUCCAUGCAUGCUGCCUUAUGUAGAGAAGGUACAUAAGUUCUCUCUGGGAUGUGGAUGGUAACAUUUUGUUUUCAUUAAUACCUCCAGAGUAGACAUAGAGAAUGUAUACACAGCAAGGAAAUAAUAACAAAUGGCACUGCCCCCUAAUGCAUCCUUAAGAACUAAUGCAGAGUUUCAAGGAAAAAUAUCCAACAAAGGGUGUAUGUCCUUCUGGAAAUGGUGGUAGACCCUGAUUGUGCUAAACCAUUUAAAACUGAACCUGCAAAAAGCCUGCAGGAUAAUUACAUGAUAGAAAACAGUCCUUAUUAAGAAGCUGCCUUAUCAUUGAACUCAUCAGCAAUAGCUGUUUUGAGUAGUGCUGUUGUAAAGCUAUGUGGAAAAGUCUUGACAUUUUGCCUUUUUGUAAUUUUUCCUUUAAAAAUUUUUAUUGUGCUUUAUCAACAGACUUUUAAGUGUUGGAAAUGCCCUAGAGAUCCUCUAGUCACCCUUGAACUCCAUGAAUUUUAUGUCUUUCUACAGUAUCAUUGAAAGAUUGCCCAACUCCUGCUUGAACUCUUCCAUCGACAUGCAGCUCACUAUUUUAUCUGAACUUCUCUUCAUUGUUGAAAAUUCUUCUUACAAAUGAUAGUAAUAUUAGACAGCCAAUAGGCUGCAGUACCUGUUCUGUAAUUUUAAAGAUUGAGGUUAUAUGAGCAUGGGCCUUGAGAAAGGAUGACAAAUUUGUGAAACGCUUUGUAUUUUUCAUUCAAAAAGAGAUUUAAAAGUAUAUUUAAUAAGCUCAGGAAAAAAAGAGCAAAUAAAACAUGACUUGGAAAAAAAAAAAAAAGGGAAGCUGCCUUAUGAGCUCGCAAAUGGCCUUUUUCUCCCUUGUUCCCAGCAUUUCAUGGUACUUUUCAGCUGAAGAAACUUUUAAAUACUCUUGACAAGUUGAUGAAAGAACUUUAUGCAAAGGUUGAGUCUCCCUUCAGCAAGCAUUUGUAAUACUGAUUAAAAACAAAUGCUAUUUCAAUGUGUCCCUUGGAAAUAGUCAACAAUCAUGUCAAGUCCUUUACUAAGCUUUAAUGCACAAACCCACAAGUACAAAUGCAAAAAGAGCAAAAACAAUGCUCUUUACAAAAGGAGUUUGCAAUUUGUUCUAUAAAAUUAAAUCUCUAUUCAUCCAAGUAUAUGAUUAUAUUUUCAUAUAGCAUUUAUAUUUUAAUAUUAGUUUUAUAAUAUUGUUUGUGUGUAUAUUUAAGAUGAGAAAUACAGGAAGGAUAAAUGUUUUUCAGUUUUUUGUUUGUUUGUUUGUUUUUGGUAUACAGGUCUGAAAUGUGUAGAAUGAAAAAACUCCUUUUAGUAUUUAGGGUUCAGAAAACAGAAUUCUCCCCAUUUGGUUCAAUGUAGGGAGAUUCAGGGAGCAAAUAAUGUUGAGGAAUCCAGAAACAAAGUAACACAAGGAAGUUUAAAGCGUUGGAUGGCGAUGGAAGAGAAAAUGAUCUUGUCAGAGCCCAGUAAGAGCUGGACUUGUGGUGGCCACACUGCUUAGCAGAGGGAUAGUUGUGGAGCAUCUCAGGUGCUGCCAGAGAUGCAGUCUGUUGCAGGGAGAGAAUGAGGGACGAAUGAGUUAGUACCUCCCUCCUCCUCCUGGAGGGUGCCUCCUCUUGGCGGACUCAACACAGAAGUCAGGAGGUGAGGAAACCUGGUGAUACGGUCACUGCUGGGCCACAACGGAAACUCCCUGUUUUUAUGUUUUUAAAGUGUUCUUUAGUUAAGUUAAUUUUAUGGACUUAAUAUUUUGUAGUCAGUUAUCUGUGAAUCAAAGCUUCCUGCUUGUUGCAUAUUUCUGUGUAUCUCCCUCUGGUAUCUUUUACAGUUUUUGCUUUAUCACCACUGAUGCAGCAUCAUUUGUCUCAUGCAUAUUCAUAACUGCUAUCUUUAUGCAGAUUGCACUCUUACCAGAGUAAACAGUCUUUCUUAGUCUAGUAUUUACUUCUUUUGCAGCCUGAAUUCUACUUUUUCAAGUGCCCUACUUUCUUUUUGUUUGUUUUUAUUACCCUAAAUUUUUCUGGGUUUGAUUUCCAUUGUGUCCAGUCUGAAAGUUUUCAUAGUUAUUCUCACGUGACAGAUACAUCUGGUUUUAGUUAUGUCCAUUUUUUUUUUUUUGAUGGGACCAGGAAUCUGUAUUAUAAACAUCUUUCUUAUCCCCAGUAUUUGAUUCUUUUGUACUUUUUUUAAAAAUUGUAAUCAAUUAUUAUUUCCCCAAUACAUUUUUUUUUUCUACUGUACAGCAUGGUGAUCCAGUUAUACAUACAUGUAUACAUUCUUUUUUUUGUUUGUUUUUUUUUAGGGCUGCACCCAUGGCAAAUGGAGGUGCCAGGCUAGGGGUCCAAUCGGAGUUGAAGCCAUUGGCCUACGCCACAGCCACAGCAAUGCGGGAUCUGAGCCCUGAGCCACGUCUGCAAACCACACUGCAGCUCAUGGCAACACCGGAUCCUUAAUCCACUGAGCAAGGCCAAGGAUCGAACUCACGUCCUCAUGGAUUCUAGUCUGGUUCAUUAACCACCCAGCCAUGAUGGAAACUCCAUGUAUACAUUCUUUUUUCUCACAUUAUCAUGCUCUGUCACAAGUGACUCCAAUUUUUUGUUCUAAAUGUUCUUUUAGUUUUUUUUUAAUUAUGUGUUGUUUGCUUUCUCUGGGUUUUCUUUGUCUAAUAGUUUACCCUUAUGAUUCUUUUAGAAAUGUAUGUGAUACUCUAUUUGUUUAAAUGAUGUAAAUGGCUUCUUCAUACGAAGUUGUAUGAUAAAGCACCUUCUCCAGGUCACCAGUCAAUGAGUGAUGGGGCCAUAAUUCAAAUCAUGUAACAUUUUUUUCUGCACAGUAUUUUUGUUUAAUUUUUAUUUGAAUCAGAAUAGGCUCUGAAGACAGUCAGUCUGGAGAUGUAUUUCACUGAUUUAUUUUAAACUUUCUCCAAUUCCCAACCUCUGUUCUGCAUCACAAUUUUGUUUAACUUUAUUUUAACAUUUAUUUAAUGCAAAAGUCAAAUGAAUAAAUGAGUGGCCUCAAUAAAUGAUUGAUAAAGAUGGAGAAUUUGGAAUUCCCAUCAUGGCUCAGUGGUUAACAAACCUGAGUAGUAUCUAUGAGGAUGUGGGUUUGAUCUCUGGCCUUGCUCAGUGGGUUGAUAAUCCGGCAUUGUUGUGAGCUGUGGUGUAGGUCGCAGAUGAGGCUUGGAUCCCUUGUUGCUGUGGCUGUGGUGUAGGCCGACAGCUACAGCUCCGAUUCAACCCCUAGCUGGGAACUUCCAUAUGC
rnacentral:lncRNA from 1 species